GAUGAACCGUGCGAACGUUGUUCGGAAUCACUGGGCUUAAAGGGCGCGUAGGCGGGCGACCAAGUCAGGGGUGAAAUCUUUCGGCCCAACCGGAAAAGGGCCCCUGAUACUGGUUGUCUCGAGGGAGGUAGGGGUCGAUGGAACUUCCGGUGGAGCGGUGAAAUGCGUAGAGAUCGGAAAGAACACCAACGGCGAAAGCACUCUGCUGGGCCGACACUGACACUGAGAGACGAAAGCUAGGGGAGCGAAUGGG
rnacentral:rRNA from 1 species